AUGCAUGUGAACAACCAGGGUGAACAUCCCGGAAUUCUUUCAGGAGCUGCUACACCUAGAGUGAUACUAUUAAAAAGAGCUGGCAUGGGACAACCAAAUGCUGGAGGAUGUUCGCAAGCAGUGCAUCAGGAUGUAACAGCCCUGCUGUUCUGGGUAAUGGGAGCGGGUGCUGCGAGGACAGUAGCACGAAAUGAGAUGAAGUCUUGGGAAAAGCAGUGUGAGGAGUAUCUUUCUGAGCUUCUGAACACUGACGUGGGCUGUGUGAGGCAGAACCUUACAGGGUUAAAAGUCUGAUCCGACGCCUGCUGUACACACAGUCAUCAAGUGAGCGCAGCGAACGCCUCUCAGAACACAAAGCAAUAUCAGGCAGACAGCAGAUCAAACAAGCCCCAGCCGCCAGGGGAGGCAACCAGUAGGGCCGUGCUUCCCACUGAUUUCCCCAGCCCUUACUUGGUGGGGAAAGGGUUAUUAAACCCUUUUGCUUUGCUCUAAGUGCUGCAAAUAGAACGAUAAAUCCAAAUAACGAGGUGCAUGCUGUUCCCCCAUCUGUAUGUGCUGCGGAUGACAGGCAGGGACCAAACAUGGAAAGGAAUCUGUAAGUAUAGCUGGAGGCUAUUGUGUCCAGCAUGGAGCUGACUCCUGCAGCGUGUUAAGGUGUACACCUUGUUCUUGUGUCGUGCAUCCUGCAGCUGUAGCUGCCCUUGUCUUGUAAGUGAGGCUGUUCUUCAUGCCAGGGUGCUCUGUGCCAGUGACCCCCACCCAUCCCUUUUUGUGGCUCAGCACCCACUCAGACAAGCUACAGAAAAGAGAGGUGGUAUUCUGAGAUCAGAACAGCAGUCUGCAAACUUUUCAUUUUGCAACCACAUCCCUGAUUUCCCCCUGAUUUCCCCCUCUUCAGCCCCAUUAAGGAAGGUGACAAGUACAAUUGCACCAGGAAGGGCCAUGUCCCCCAUUGCAGUCCCUGUGGAUUAUUAAGCCCAGCCCAUAGGGACCCUUGGCCACAAACAGC
rnacentral:lncRNA from 1 species